ACCCCAUGGAGCUUUAAACCCCACUACACCCCUAUUUACAACAACUACUUAACCAAUUGGACACUGUAUGCUUGGUUUUAGGUUGGGGCGACCACGGAGUAAAAAAUAACCUCCACGAUAAAUGGGCUUACCCCCUUAUCUAAGAGCCACACCUCUAAGAAUUAAAAUAUUAAUAUAAUAUGAUCCUUUCUUGAUCAACGGACCAAGUUACCCUGGGGAUAACAGCGCAAUCCAUUUCAAGAGCCCCUAUCGACAAAUGGGUUUACGACCUCGAUGUUGGAUCAGGAUGUCCAGGUGGUGUAGCAGCUACCAACGGUUCGUUUGUUCAACGAUUAAAAUCCU
rnacentral:rRNA from 1 species